rnacentral:lncRNA from 1 species
GUCGUGCUGCUCUUUGAUCUAGUUUCUGCAUUUUCAAAUAAAGGUACAUAUCAUACAGUGUCCGAUUUAAUGAUCAGAAUAACUAUAUCACUUGUUUUCGUUAUGUAGUUCAGCGUUGUUAAAAUGCUUGGCAUCUCUAUCAGAGGUACUGUUUUUUUUUUUUUUUUUUAAAUUCUUUAAUUUUUUUAAACUAUUGGAAAUUAACUACAGUAUAUUUCAUGAAUGAUCCACUUCGCAAGAGUUUGUAUUCAGUGCCUGGCAAUCAUUAGACGUCCGGGUUAGAUUCAAAUCGACCUAAGACAUGCGAAAAAUAGGAAAUAGAACACUGGCCAAUGAUUUCCCUUUUGAAUUAUUUCACAUUUUGUUUUCCUGGGUCUUUUCUAGCGGCAUUGGUUUGUCUGUACUAGUUGUGUACAUCAACUUCAUUUAUAUGUUCUCUGGUAGAUUAUUUACUUUUUUUGGAAAACCGUACCACAUCUCCUUUUUUUUAAACUUAUAUCUGAAAAACCUAUGCAUUUUCUCUUUUUUGUCUGCAGAAGAUCGUCAACUUCGGUUUAUUAUUCCUGUAUCACGGUUCAUUCAGAUACAUGUCUUGUUGUGUCCUAAUGGUGUCCGUUGGAUUCUGAUUUGUUUAUUCCCCUUUUAUCGUAAAAUUUUCUUUAUGUUAUAAUCACGGCCGACACUCGGCUAACCGAGAGAUUGGUCGGUUAAUCUAUAUUGAGUAUGCGGCUAUAUGGGCGAUUGGUCUGUUAAUCGGGUUGGUUAUACGUCUGUUAAGAGUAAAACGCUUAAUUUAAUGCCAAACUCUAUUAAAUAUACAGAUUUUUGGCAUGUUAUAAGAACCAAAUCAAAAAAAGAAAAGUGUCUGACAAAAUGAUAUCUAUCAUAGAACAUUUUGCACUUGUAAAAACAUUUCUUAGUCUGCGCAGUUUUCAGUAAAACUAAAAGGCGUCGCGCAAGUAUGUAGUAUUUAUGCUUAUACGCAUAGCAAUUUUUUUUAAUAAAAGGCGAAACAAACAAAUUUAGAAAUCAUUUAAAGGACAAAAAAUAGUACUGUGGUUCUAAAAAAUAAAUUGACAUGAGUAAAUAUUUCAUAAUUGUAAAAUAACGUGAAUAAUACCACGUUUUAGUGAAAAUUAUGGGAAUAAAGUCUGUUAAUGGGUUGGACAAUUGAAAUUGUGUCAGUUAAGAGUUAUUUAGCCACGACAAUAAUUUUGCUACCUUUAUAUUUUCCCCUUGAAAAAUUUAAGAAUGAGAUGUUCCUGAGUAAACAAAAAUGACAAUACGGUGC